rnacentral:rRNA from 1 species
UUGACCUCAAAUCAGUAAGA